rnacentral:rRNA from 1 species
UCUGAGUGGGGGGCGGGGGAGGGGGGAGUACGAAGGGGGCUGGGGUUGGUGGGAAUUACUGGGGGUAAAGCGCAGGGAGGCGGCGUUUUAAGUCGGGGGUGAAAUCCUGGAGCUCAACUCCAGAACGGCCUUCGAUACUGGCGAUCUCGAGUGCGGGAGAGGGGAGUGGAACUGCGAGUGUAGAGGUGAAAUUCGUAGAUAUUCGCAAGAACACCAGUGGCGAAGGCGGCUCACUGGCCCGAUACUGACGCUGAGGUGCGAAAGCGUGGGGAGCAAACAGGAUUAGAUACCCGGGUAGUC